rnacentral:rRNA from 1 species
AUUGAACGCUGGCGGAAUGCUUUACACAUGCAAGUCGAACGGCAGCACGGACUUCGGUCUGGUGGCGAGUGGCGAACGGGUGAGUAAUGUAUCGGAACGUGCCCAGUCGUGGGGGAUAACGUAGUGAAAAUUACGCUAAUACCGCAUACGAUCUAUGGAUGAAAGCGGGGAUCGCAAGACCUCGCGCGAUUUGAGCGGCCGAUAUCAGAUUAGGUAGUUGGUGGGGUAAAGGCCCACCAAGCCAACGAUCUGUAGCUGGUCUGAGAGGACGACCAGCCACACUGGAACUGAGACACGGUCCAGACUCCUACGGGAGGCAGCAGUGGGGAAUUUUGGACAAUGGGCGAAAGCCUGAUCCAGCCAUUCCGCGUGCAGGACGAAGGCCCUCGGGUUGUAAACUGCUUUUGUACAGAACGAAAAGGUUUCUACUAAUACUAGGAGCUCAUGACGGUACUGUAAGAAUAAGCACCGGCUAACUACGUGCCAGCAGCCGCCGUAA